rnacentral:rRNA from 1 species
GAUGAACGCUGGCGGCGUGCCUAAUACAUGCAAGUCGAGCGAACAGACGAGGAGCUUGCUCCUCUGACGUUAGCGGCGGACGGGUGAGUAACACGUGGAUAACCUACCUAUAAGACUGGGAUAACUUCGGGAAACCGGAGCUAAUACCGGAUAAUAUAUUGAACCGCAUGGUUCAAUAGUGAAAGACGGUUUUGCUGUCACUUAUAGAUGGAUCCGCGCCGCAUUAGCUAGUUGGUAAGGUAACGGCUUACCAAGGCGACGAUGCGUAGCCGACCUGAGAGGGUGAUCGGCCACACUGGAAGUGAGACACGGUCCAGACUCCAACGGGAGGCAGCAGUAGGCAAUCUUCCGCAAUGGGCGAAAGCCUGACGGAGCAACGCCGCGUGAGUGAUGAAGGUCUUCGGAUCGUAAAACUCUGUUAUUAGGGAAGAACAAAUGUGUAAGUAACUAUGCACGUCUUGACGGUACCUAAUCAGAAAGCCACGGCUAACUACGUG